CCACGUGUCGAAGCACGACUUAGAGGCAUAACCGCAUUGAAAGCAAUGUCACAAGUGAGGUAAUCUUCGCAAACAACCCAUGUAAUACAAUAAAGGAAAAGAUACAUAGUUGGCUUACAAUCGCCACUUCACACAAUUACAUGAAUAAGGCAUUACAUCAACCAAAUACAAUCAAGGCCCGACUACGGAACCAAAAUAAAAGAAGAACCCCAAAUGCGACAAGGUCCCCGAUCGACCCCAACUGGGCUCCACUACUGAUCAAUUAGAACGAAACAACACAAAGGGCAAGAUCUUCAUCGAGCUCCUCCUGAGCUUGGUUGCGUCAUCUGCACGGUCUCAUUGGCACCUGCAAGCUGGUUUUUGAAGUAUCUGUGAGUCACGGGGGCUCAGCAAUCUCGCACCCUCGCGAUCAAGACUAUUUUAGCUUAUAGGAAGGGUAAAAGGUAUGAGGUGGAGCUGCAGCAAGCGACUAGCAUAUAUGGUGGCUAACAUACGCAAAUGAGAGCGAGAAGAGAAGGCAAAGCACGGUCGAGAAACUAUGAUCAAGAAGUGAUCCUAGAACCACCUACGUCAAUCAUAACUCCAACACCGUGUUCACUUCCCGGACUCCGCCGGAAAGAGACCAUCACGGUUACACACGCGGUUGAUGCAUUUUAAUUAAGGUCAACUUCAGGUUUUCUACAACCGGACGUUAACAAAUUCCCAUCUGCCCAUAACCGUGGGCACGGCUUUCGAAAGUUCAAAUCCCUGCAGGGGUGUCCUAACUUAGCCCAUCACAAGCUCUCACGGUCAACGAAGGAAUAGACCUUCUAGCGGGAAGACCCGAUCAGACUCGGAAUCCCGGUUACAAGACAUUUCGACAAUGGUAAAACAAGACCAGCAAAGCCACCCAGAUGUGCCAACAAAUCCCGAUAGGAGCUGCACAUAUCUCGUUCUCAGGGCACACCAGAUGAGCAAGACGUCGGGUAAGCCAGCCCAGAGUUGCCCCUGGUAUCCUCGGACAUUGCUCAGUUGGACCAACACUUACAGAAGCACUGGCCCGGGGGGGUUAAAAUAAGAUGACCCUUGAGCCGGCCGACUCAAGGGAAAGAAAAGGCUAGGUGGCAAAUGGUAAAACCAAUGUUGGGCCUUGCUGGAGGAGUUUUAUUCAAGGCGAACUGCCAAGGGUUCCCAUUAUUACCCAACCGCAUAAGGAACGCAAAAUCCGGGAACAUAACACCGAUAUGACGGAAACUAGGGCGGCAAGAGUGGAACAAAACACCAGGCAUAAGGCCGAGCCUUCCACCCUUUACCAAGUAUAUAGAUGCAUUAAUUAAAUAAGAGAUUGUGAUAUCCCAACAAGUAACAUGUUCCAACAAGGAACAACAUCUCCAUGUUCCAACAAGGAACAAACUUCAAUCUUCACCUGCAACUAACAACGCUAUAAGAGGGGCUGAGCAAAGCGGUAACAUAGCCAAACAACGGUUUGCUAGGACAAGGUGGGUUAGAGGCUUGGUUCAACAAUAUGGGAGGCAUGAUAAGCAAGUGGUAGGUAUCACAGCAUAGGCAUAGCAAAUGAGCGAGCAACUAAGCAAGCAAAGAUAGAAGUGAUUUCGAGGGUAUGAUCAUCUUGCCUGAAAUCCCGCAAGGAAGAAGAACGAGUCCAUGAAGAAGAUAAACGGACGUAGUCGAACGGAUCCUCACAAACGCAACGUUAUCGGAACUAACCCGAAGAAGCAACACCAGAAAGAAAGCAAACCACAUGGUAAACAACCAUCACAUAAGCAUGGCACGAUGCGCAAACAAGUAUGAUGCAUGACCGGUUUAAUGAGGCAUGGCAUGGCAAAGUGCACAAACAAUCCUACAAAUUAAGUGGAGCUCAAUAUGCACAUAUUGACGGAACACCACAUCAAUUAUUUAGUUCUCUCUCGGUUAGGUACUCAACAAUAUUAAAUGUUGGUUAACAUGGCAAGAGGUGAGGCAUAACAAAACUACACCAUAUAAACAAAUUAAAUGGGGCCGGGUAUAACAAAUAACGAAUCCAUAAAUCCCCAUAUGCAUUAGUAAUAUAUAGCAACAACAAUUAACAUUUUAAUUGUUGUUAUCAUGAUGCGGGUGACAUGUUCAAGUUAUGCAAGUUUUAAGAAAAUGUUAACAAGAGCAUAUUAUGAGGCAUUUGUCAUCGUGGCGAAAAGGAAAGGGGUGCCACAACAACGAUAACGAAAAUGGUGCCACGACAGUGUUCCGGUUCCGGUACUUGAUUGAGAUACCGAUGCAAAGGGAAAGUGUGCGGAUGCGUGCAAAAGAUGGUGGGGUGCUCCCGGGUUCCGGGUGUCCCACGAGGUGGCGACAAGGAAACGAGUGACAAUUUGGACAUGGUGCAAACAUGAGCAUCCCAAACAUCGCAAACAUUCGUUCACGGACGGUCGUGUCGGGGUUAUACCUUCGAAGCAUGCGUUAUCGGAGGGGUUCGAGUUUGAUGCAGUGUAGGGGAAGUAGACGUUCUCCAGGCAUAGAGGGAAGUAGUGGUUCACGCGACGGUAGUCGAAGUAGUCGUCCUAUCGUUCAUCGGCGAUCAUCGGAGCGGUAGUGGAAGUAGAGGCUCGCGACGUCUUGUCGAAAACCACGGCGGCGGUAGUCGUACACAAUCGUAGAUGUUCAGGGUUGUCGGGGUACUUGUCGGUCGGGUCUUGAUGGUCUCGUUUCUUGCGAUGGUAGUUGUACAAGGUCGUCGUGGGAGGUAGUGGUACUCACGAACUUGUCGGAUCCACGGCGACGGUUGUGGAACCUCAUGGAUUCGUGGUCUCCGGGCAGUCCCAGUCUUGACGGUGGGGUACUUGACGCAUCCCGGAUAUGUAGUCGUACACAGUGUUACAUGUAGCCGAACUUGAGGUGGUCUUGGCGUCGGACUUGUGGCGUUGGACAGAACCAUGGCGAGGUUCAACAGCUACCCCACGUCCAUGACCAAAAACGGAGCUCGGGCAGAGAGUCGAAGCAGCUAGCAGGGGCGUGUGUGGAGCAACAACAUAACACCAGCAAAGGCCAUGGCGACAUGAAGCCUUGGGCGUCAUCGGGGUGGAAGGAUGCGGUUCCUGCCAAGCUCUCGGAGAGGCCGGCCAUGGAGGCAGGAAGGUGACGACGCUGGGGAUCGAUGUUGGGGCUCCGGCGAACUCCGGCAAUGCAGACGAUGAAGGGAGCGAGCGGCGCGAGGCUCCUGCUGGGCGCUCGAGGUGGCGCAGGCAUGCCAGAGCCACCGGACAAGAUGUAGGUCACCGGGAGGUUCGGCAGGGGCGCGAUGGCUAUGGAGGUGGGGCGCAGCACGGCGGCAGAGCGGCGGCGGCUGCAGGGCGCCAUGGCCGCCUGAAGAGGAAGGAGGGUGGCGCAGGAUGGUAGAGGAGGGCGGCUCGCGUCCUCAGGGUUCCCUGCUCGCAAGCACAAGGGCGCAGGAGGAUGGCCGGGGUGCGCGAGGGCACCGGGUGCAGGCGCGAGAUCGAGAGGAGAGGGAGGGGAUCGUGGGAGAAGGGUGGCUGCGGAAGGGAAGCGAGGAGGAGAUGGGAUCGGGAGAGGAGUCGGGCAGCGGUCUCCCUGGCGGCACUGAGAGGGAUCGAGAGGGAGAGGGAUGGGCAUCGAGGGAACGGGUUCAGGAAGGCUAGGGUUAGGAAAGGAGACUGGGCCUUAGGAAAAUGGGCCGAAGCGGUGGAGGGCGCUGGUUGUCCGGCCUGGUAGAGCUGGCAGGGACGCUGGGCUCUCCACUCCCUCUCUCAUCUCUUAAACUUUCCUUUUCCAUUUAAAAACAAAACAGAAUAGAGAAAAAAAGAAAGAGGAGGAAGGGGUGGAAUCUGGGCAUGGGGAUAAUAUUCCUGGACUCGCAAAAAUGUAUAUGAUCCAAGAAAAAUGGAGUGGCCACUUUUCAAAGUUUAAAUUCACACUCAUUUAAUUUGAAUUCAAAUGGUUCGAAUAGGAAGUGAGGGUUAGGAAGGUCCAAAAAUGUUCGGAUUUUUGGUGGAGCUCCGGAAAAUGAUGAGAGAAUAUAUGGCAAGGUUAGAGAGUCAACACUCCAAGAAGAAAAGGCCAAGGAAUUAAUAUGCAAGUGUGUUAUAGGUGAUUCCAAAGAAUGGAAAUAUUUAUAAUAGCUCCCUAAUAUCGGGAGGAUAUGUUAUAAAGAGAAUCACCAUGUGAAUUCCCUCGAUUUAAAUGGACCGAAAAUCCAUGCAAUUUAUUUAGUUGAGAUGCAAAAGAUUUAUGACAUGAUGCAAUGCACAUGAUGCAAAGAUGAAUGCAACAAACCAACAACUCACACGACGAAAACCCGGAAACCCCGGAAGGCAUCUGAAGCUCCGGCCUUGGGGCGUCACAACACUCCACCACUACGAAAGGAUCUCAUCCCGAGAUCUAGAAUGGCACCGGAAGGAAAACGGAAGAGGAAGAGCAGCGGUAAAACUAAGUUACUUCAUUGACAAACGAGUGAAACCACAAACCUUGAAGAGGUUGAACAAAUUGAAAGACAACAUAUAGCGAAGAUGAACAAAGUUGAAAACACUCCAUUAGAAAAGAGAGACAAGGAAGAACAACUUCUAACAGCACUCCGGUUGGAAAGGUAAGCAAGACUUGAUAAAAAGAAAGAACUUGAGAAGCGGCACACACUCCGGUUAAAUGGAUAAGCACAGGAAAGAACAUGAUCUUAGAUGAAACGAGAUGAUUGUUGAAGAAAGCAACAUCACAAAGCCUCCGGAACAAAAGUAAGAAUGGAAUGUGAUGAACGAAGGGAAACAAGAUCUCGAGGGAGGACGUUUACAACAAAUGCUAGAACGGAGUUGUUGGAAAACCAAAAACAAAAAGAAUAAGCUUGAUAUGGUCUUCUGGAAUACAUCUCGUAUUAUGAGGUGACAACCUGCCGCUAACAAAAUCAAAGAUUGGAUUGAUAUCAACAAGGAGGCGAGAAACUUAUUUUACCGGGAGGAUAAAGAAGAACUUGGGUCCUUUAUAAGCACCAUAAUAGCAACAAUCCUUAGGGAAAACUUUAGGUGAAAUAUAACCCAGGAUAACUCCAACGAAGAGGUUGAUGGAUUUAAAAUACCCCAUUCUCGAUAACUUGUGAAACAUGAAACAACUCAAAUUAUCAAGAAUGACAUAAUACCACCUCCAAAGAUACGGUAGACAGAAAUGCACUCCGGAUUACACUAUGAAGAAAGCUUGAGCUCCUCUGAAAAGAAAGUUGAUGAACGUUUCGAGAAGGAAUAUAAAUCGUUGAUGAACCAUCAUGUAGAACCUUCAUGAAGAACUCCGGUAAACAAAAGAUAACGAAAAAAAGAGAAGUUGAAAACACAAGGUGAAUCCUUGUAACAAAUUAGAUGGAUCUUCGUGAUAAAUAGAGCUUGGAACUCCGGGAAAGAAAAGAUAAAGCAUCUCGAACUGAGGGUAUGAUAUGAUGAACCACUCCGGAAAAAGAAUUAAUCACUUGGAUGGGACAAGAAUAAGAAUUAUGUUAAGCAUAUCCUUCACCAAUUAAAUUGAUGACAAUUAACGGAUUGGCAUAUUGCUUAUUCUCAUAGAAAGAUUAAGAGAGAUAUAGCACAAACUUGAGAAGGUAUUCAAAGAACCACCGGUAGAAUGAAACAACAAAAGAAUUAAUAUGAUAAACGAAGGAAGACAAAAAUCUUGGAAGAACCACCUUAAGAAUUAAAAUGAUCGAGGAAAAGAUAAAGAACACCGGGAACAAUUAUGAAAUGAAUGAAGAUGCUUGAGAGAGUUUAGAUGCAAGUGAACAAAGAAAUCGUGAAUUGAUUAGAGAAAAACUUGAAUGAAGCAUCGGUAAGAUUUUUGAAGAACGAGAGCUGAAAGCUGAAAUGGAUAAUCCCGAAAUGAUGGCCUUCGGAGUAAAGAAAUGGAAACAACUCAUGAAAAGCUCCGGAUAGGUGAAAAGAAUACCCACAAUCAAAACAAUUAUGAGAGCAUGGCAUUACGCUAGAACCCUGAAUCUCUGAGAGAACGGAUAAGAUAUGGAGUUAAAACUCUUCUUCGGUCUUCAAAUCUCCGAGAAUGACGACGAAAAACACCACCAUGAAUUAUUUAGAAACUUCGUAAGAAUCAAAACGAAGAUGUUGAGCCAACGAUGAAAAGAAUUCGACAGAUCUUGGAGAAAACAUGAGACUGAUGACAAUUCAUACUUACGUCAAACUCUGACAAGAAUUUAGGAUAGCUCCGGGAAAAUAAGAAGAGUCAGGUAAGAUCCUGGGAAAAGACCUGUGGGUUAGGGCCCACUCAAAAGAAACACCGUAGAACGAUUGCUUCAAAAGAGAGAUUGCACCGGUUGAAUUUAAUGGCUUGAAAGAUAUUACAAUCUCGAUAGAGCUUGAAUGGAUCGAGAAUGUAACCGUGAGUCUUCUGAGAUAUCUUGAGCACUCCGGAACAAAUGAAUAGCGAGAGGUGAAUGAUAAAGAGGUGCACCGGUAAGAAAAGGUAUUUGAAACGAGGAAAAAGGAUAUGAUCCACAAAGCUUGACUUGGUUCCACCAGAGAAGAUAAAAGAACAAAGAAUGAUAAACUUGAAGCUCCGUUAGAAUCUUUCUGAGAAUCACCAGAUAAGAGCAUUGACGGAAAAGAAUAGAGAGGCUUGCCAUCAAUAAAAGGAUACUUGAAUAAGAAAUCUGAAUCAUUGAAGAAAAAGGGUGGGUGGGCGGGAAAAACAAAGGCAAUUUGGAGACGGAUGAAACAAACACCGUUCAGAAGAAACUGAUACUUGAUCUUGCGGAUGUUGAAAUGAUCAGAUCCACUUGAAGAGAAGCACACCAGUUAAAAGGGAUUGACAAAAAACAAUCUUGAUGGUCAAGAAGGAUUGGUAUUCACAUCGGAGUAUGAGAACACCACUUAGGAAAGGUAUGGAAUCAACAUUUGACUUCGAAGCAACUCGAAUACCACAACUCAAAACAAAACAAAGGAUUGGCUUGCAGAAUAAGCCGGAACAAACAUAUGAUAGAGAUUUCGUCCGAAGUUUUCGUGGUGGGGCCUACACGGGCUUGAUCGUACAACACCAUCAUGUACAAGGCAGUGCACAUGACAUAUGAAGCAUCCCCGAGUCGGCAUAGCCAAGGACUCUUUAAGACACAACGAGACCACUGUAAAACCAACCGUGAAUAGGCGGACCACUAGACGUCGAACCCCAAUUUCAUAUCAUACAUCUGUCGGAAAGAUAUCCUAAGAGCUACUUGAAUUCCCACUUAUAAACUCCCAAAAUUUUCCGGUUAUGCAAUCAGGUGUUGUGGAUACAGGGGAAGCAUAAUAUCUCACCCAAAACUAGCAAAUCCUACAUCCAGCUGUAUCCAUCCUUCAACACAUAACCAAGAAACCUUCGGAAAUCAUCUACCUCAACCUUCGAAAAGCAUCUGUUAUACAAGUUAUGGCAAUACUCCCGAACUCCCGCCCCAGUACUGGGUGGCGUCGAGGUUAUCUCACCAACAACUGCAUAAAAGAGAUUUUCGAUGUCGGUGAAACUAAACUCAGGUAUUCCAGAACUGCAACGAUAAAAUUAUGACGACAACACCUCGGAGCUCAACUCCCCGGGACACUUCCACAAAACCCCUGACAGGAGGCACCAAGACAAUGUUCUCGUCAUAAAACCAUCGGAAUGAUUCCAAGAUACCCGCGUGAUCCUAAAUUUUUUUUAGUGAAAUUUGAGAAGAGAACAGUCAAAACUCUAUGUCAGGAAGCCUUACCAGAGCGAUGAGGAGACUGGGAAGUAAAAAGAAUUCCUAACUCUCCGAUAUAUAUAAUCCUAGAUGACUCAAAACAUUUUUCUAGACACAACUCGGCCGCUAAAAAUGAUCAAGCAAUGGGGCUCCUAAGGUCGGGGAAGGCUCUGAUACCAACUUGUAACGCCCUCGAUGCGGCUAUAUCUCCCACGUGUCGAAGCACGACUUAGAGGCACAACCGCAUUGAAAGCAAUGUCGCAAGUGAGGUAAUCUUCACAAACAACCCAUGUAAUACAAUAAGGGAAAAGAUACAUAGUUGGCUUACAAUCGCCACUUCACACAAUUACAUGAAUAAGGCAUUACAUCAACCAAAUACAAUCAAGGCCCGACUACGGAACCAUAAUAAAAGAAGAACCCCAAAUGCGACAAGGUCCCCGAUCGACCCCAACUGGGCUCCACUACUGAUCAAUUAGAACGAAAC
rnacentral:lncRNA from 1 species